AAGGACGUGGCGGUUGCGUUGAAGGCUAUGAGCGUAGGCUCGUCUGGAGCUUCCGUCAGUGCAGAUCGUAAUUGGUAGUAGCAAAUAUUCAAGUUCGAUCCUUGAAGACUGAAAGUGGAGAAAGGGUUCCACGUGAAACAGUAGUUGGAUGUGGGUCAGUCGAUCCUAAGGUACUGGCGAAAGCCUUGUAUCAUCGGGUGGCGAAAAGCUUGCUUUUUUGUCCCCCGCCCGUCGAAAGGGAAUAGGGUUAAUAUUCCCUAACUGAGAUGCAAAGAUUGUGUUCUUCGGAGCACAAGCGCGGUAACGCGUUCGAACUUGGUAAGUCGCUCAGAGACCGAGCUAGAGUUUUCUUCUCUAGUUAAGGAACGGACUCCCUGGAAUUGGUUCAGCCAGAGAUGGGGACGUUGUUUCCGAAAAGCACCGCGGUUUCUGUGGUGUCUCGUGCUCUCUGAACGGCCCUUUAAACACCAAGGGAGGCUAUUAAUUUGCACUCAAUCGUACCGAUAUCCGCAUUAGGUCUCCAAGGUGAACAGCCUCUAGUCGAUAGAAUAAUGUAGGUAAGGGAAGUCGGCAAACUAGAUCCGUAACUUCGGGAAAAGGAUUGGCUCCAGUGGUCGGAACGGUUGGCCAGUUGGUUGAUGCUUGUCCGGCGCUGUUCUGUCUGCUUGAUGCUUUCGGGCUGAUGGCGGCCUAGUGAUAGUGCUUGCUUGUUGACGCUUUCUGGUGUGUGCUUUGACCUCGGUCUUAGUAUCCUGAUCGUUCAUCUAAACGACUAAACUGGAACCGGUACGGACUCAGGGAAUCCGACUGUCUAAUUAAAACAGAGGUGACAGAUGGUCCUUGCGGACGCUGACUGUCACUGAUUUCUGCCCAGUGCUCUGAAUGUUAAAUCGUAGUAAUUCGAGUAAGCGCGGGUAAACGGCGGGAGUAACUAUGACUCUCUUAAGGUAGCCAAAUGCCUCGUCAUUUAAUUGUUGACGCGCAUGAAUGGAUUAACGAGAUUCCUACUGUCCCUAACUACUAUCUAGCGAAACCACAGCCAAGGGAACGGGCUUGGCAAAAAUAGCGGGGAAAGAAGACCCUGUUGAGCUUGACUCUAGUUUGACAUUGUGAAGAGUCAUGAGAGGUGUAGCAUAGGUGGGAGUCUUCGGACGCCAAUGAAAUACCACCACUUUCAUCGACUCUUU
rnacentral:ncRNA from 1 species